UACGGAGGAUCAAGCGUUAUCCGGAAUCGAUUGGGUUUAAAGGGUCCGUAGGCGGUUUAAUUAAGUCAGUGGUGAAAGCCCAUCGCUCAAGCGGUGGAACGGCCAUUGAUACUGUUAAACUUGAAUUAUUAGGAAGUAACUAGAAUAUGUAGUGUAGCGGUGAAAUGCUUAGAGAUUACAUGGAAUACCAAUUGCGAAGGCAGGUUACUACUAAUGGAUUGACGCUGAUGGACGAAAGCGUGGGUAGCGAACGGG
rnacentral:rRNA from 1 species